AUGAUUUACACUUUACAUUCAUCAAAAAAAUCAACUGUAUCUUACCCCGUGACAUGUCCCUCCUUUCUUGUGGCAAUGGCCAUGAAUGUGGCCAUGCUUGUGCUUGUGGCCGUGACCAUGAUGCCCAUGUCCAUGUCCAUGUUCAUGAUGCCCAUGUCCAUGGCCAUGACUGUGUCCAUGCCCAGGACCGUGUCCAUGCCCAGGACCAUGACCGUGUCCAUGCCCAGGACCGUGUCCAUGCCCAAAACCAGGCACUGGUCCCUGAUGGCCUUCAUGCCCUGCACAAGGUGGUGCUACAGGAUUGUACACAGGUGGACCACAGGGCUGAGGAGGGCAGGGUUGGGGUGCGACAGGGCCUGGUGGACAUCCUCCUGGCAUUGGCUGAGGGUAACAGCCAGAGGGAUACUGGUUUCCUAGUCAAAAGGUUUGUAUACACUUUACACACAUUUUGGCUUCCUAAAAUUUAAUAAAGAAAGUUUGACACAAAGGAAGGGAAAGGAGUUUUGAUAAAAGUUAAAUAGACUUUACCUCUGUUAUUCCCAUGCAUUUCAGAACUUCAGAUCAGAUCCAAACCUUGAAAUCAAAGUUAACUUAAUUACACACAAAUCCCCCUUAACAUAAAAGAAAUACAAAACAAUAAAGACAUCAGUGGGGUUUGUCUUACUGAUAAAGACAUGAUGGCACACACUCUCUCUCUCUCUCUCUCUCUCUCUCUCUCUCUCUCUCACACACACACACACACACACACACACACACACACACACUUUUUUUGGUAAUUAUACCCAGAUAUGUUGUAGUGAACUUACUGAGUGCCGGAGUGCAGAUCCACAGACUCAGCAGUGAACUGGCUCUGCAUUUAUAGGAAGUCAUGAGGGGCAGAGCCUCAACUCCCACCAACAUUUUUUUGUGUGCUGUGUAAACAUGCACUCGAGAUUUUGUUACUAUUAACUAACUAUUUAUAACAUAAUUUUUAUGUUUUUGUCGACCACGUGGUACCAGACAACCAAUGACAAGGAUACUGGGCAAACUCAUACUAUCAAAGGUUGACAUUGUGUACUUUAAUCAACUGUUUAAUAAUCAAUUAUUUAAUAACACGUUUCUACAAUCAUGGAUACCCUACACUCAUAAGAUUUAUGUUUCUAACAGCCACUGUUAAAGCCACUAUGUAAAACAUUUGAAAAUGUCUUCAUUGGGCGCCAUCUGGUGGUCGUCUUGACAAUGACACUGUGGCAGGCAGCACAAUCAUUUUGAAAGAUGGCACAACACAGUCACUUAAUGUACAUGCAGUGACAUGAACAAAAGUUAUGAAAAGCCAGUACACCAGUUUUCACCUUAUUUAUUAGAUUAAUAAUUCAUUCAAGGCCAUACAAUCAGUGAAAACUCUCAAUUUUACAUCGUUUAGAUGAAGAAUACACAUGAUUUUAAUGUUACCAGGUGGUAACUUGUCUUCAUCUAGUCCGAGUCGCUGCUGCAGGAGCUGCUGGAGGACUGAAAGACAAAAACAAACAAGUUAUUCAGUGAAGACAGCUCAUCAUUCAAUUCUUCACAAAAGAGUCGGAUUAAUUUGAUUCUUAUAAAUCAAUUUUGAGUUUUCGAGCAGAGAAGGAUAAAUCAGGUCAGGGAAGGAUAAGAGCAGUGUUGCCCAUCCCUUUUGAGACACUAAGCCCCCGACUGCUCUAACAAGCUAUAUCCAGGUCUGACGGUGUGUAACUGUGUGGAAGCGGAGCAUACUGUUCCUGCACAAGUCCAUUUAUAGCGCUGUUCUAUCCCCGGAUGAAUAACUUAAAACCUCCAUUUAUUUAACAUCCAUAACAGGGUAUUCCUGUGCUCAGUUUUCAUUGGGUUGGAUUGCACAAACCUUUUAAAAUGCUUCUCUGAUUUCUGUUGUGAAUGAACUGAACACUGUUGAAUCUUACCCCGUGACAGUCCUUGCCCUUCUUGUGACAAUUGGCAUGCUUGUGGCCACGCCUGUGCCUUUUCCUGCGCUUGGGCCCAUGUUUAUGUCCAUGUCCAUGCCCCCCACCACAGCCAUGGCCACCGCAGGGCCCGUGCCCCCCACCACAGUGUCCAUGGCCACCGCAGGGUCCAUGCCCACCACCAUGUCCAUGGCCACCAUGUCCAUGGCCACCGCAGUUUCCAUGCCCACCACCAUGUCCAUGGCCACCAUGUCCAUGGCCACCGCAGUUUCCAUGCCCACCACCUUGUCCGCAGUUUCCGUGCCCACCACCUUGUCCGCAGUUUCCGUGCCCACCACCUUGUCCGCAGAUUCCAUGCCCACCACCUUGUCCGUGGCCUCCUCGACCACAGUGUCCUGUAAGUAGUCAUCAAUAAAUAUAUGAGCAUAAAGUGUGCAACAGACAGUUAAUAUGUUUGGAAGAAAGAGGUGAGGAUAAACCAAAAGCAACUGUGUUAUUUACCUCGAUUCAUUUCAAAACUUUAGACCCUGAAAUUGAAGAAAAUUUAAAUAAUUAAAACUUUUCACACAAUAAUUAAAGAAGAAAGAGAGAAACACCUUUAUAAAACAUGUGUUAACGUGUGAUAUGUGCAAUAAUUCAGAAUCACAACAAAAACGACCAUCACCUUCUGCACAUACUCGUUCUAUAUUUUUUCUAAAUUAAAAAGCUACAAAUCAUCACGAGAGUUUUAAAGGUGAACUUACUGUCCGCUGGAUAGAAAGUCCACAGACGCAGCUGGUACCUGCAGCCCCUUUUAUGCAGAGCCACACCUCAACCUGAAGCAGCUCAUCAGGGGCAGUACCUGCACUCUCAUCAGAAAACCUUUGUUUAGUUGAGGGUAAAGUAUGUGAGUGACAGUGUGUAUAAUCUGCACCAUACGGUAUGCACAUGGAGCUAUAUGUGCAUUAAAAAAAAUGCAAUUAUUACAUGCCAUUUGUAACACUCAGACUGGUGUUGUGAACGUGGAGAAAGUUGUUUUGGGAUAUUCUUGUUAAAUUCCAGUCUGACACGCACAAACACUAACAGGUAACCUUAUAGGUUCAAUGUGUUCAUUGUGAGUCAUGUUUGUUUAAAAUCUUUUCCAACCAGUGGGAUGUUAUCAGGUAACAAAACCUGUAUUUUCUCAUCGCACACACACACACACACACGUACACACACACGUCACGUCUUCACUCAGUUGUUGAAAGUGUUAUCUGCUGAUUGGCUUUGUGAUGCACGAAUCAAGAAAAAUGGACAUGAUUAUAGGCAGUGUGUCUGUUUGGGAAAUUAAAUGUGCAAUAAUGAACAAAUACAUGAGUUAUGUACAUGUGAGCUCUCAUACAAAUUAGUUUGUAUGAGAUUUUAUCAAAAAUGUUUCAGUCUGUUCAGUCUCAAGUCCUAAAGUAGGAGUCUAAGUCAUGUUUUCAUGUAUCUGAAUGUUAUCUAUUAAAAUGGUUUGCUUUAGAAUGUGUUGACAGUGAUUCUCUUACUAAAUAAAAUAUUUGAGCUAUAUGGUUUUUCAAUGACCGCCUGUCACUUGGGAGUCUUUAGGGAGUCACAUC
rnacentral:lncRNA from 1 species